rnacentral:rRNA from 1 species
CGUCUAUAUACGUAUAGCAUAUCAAUAAGCGGAGGAAAAGAAACUAACUAGGAUUCCCUCAGUAACGGCGAGUGAAGCGGGAAGAGCUCAAAUUUGAAAUCUUCAAGGUUUUACCUUGACGAAUUGUAGUUUAAAGAAGUGUUUUCUGUUGGAGUUUUGGUAAAAGUUCUUUGGAAUAGGACAUCAUAGAGGGUGAGAAUCCCGUAUUUGACCAUUAUUUCCAACUUUGUGAUACACUUUCAAAGAGUCGGAUUAGUUUGGGAAUGCAGUCCAAAAUGGGUGGUAAAUUUCAUCUAAAGCUAAAUAUUGGCGAGAGACCGAUAGCGAACAAGUACCGUGAGGGAAAGAUGAAAAGAACUUUGAAAAGAGAGUUAAACAGUACGUGAAAUUGUCAAAAGGGAAGCGUUUGACACCAGUGUUGUUUUCUCGAAAAUCAAUUAAAAAUGGCGGGAUUUUGUGUUGUAUUGACUUUAUCAGCUUUCUGCACUUUUUUCCUAUCUUUUUUAAUGCACUUUUCGUUUAACAAGUCAACAUCAGUUUCUUUUGUUGUAAAAGGGUCAUUGGAAGGUGGCUUUCUUUUCGGAGAAAGUGUUUAUAGCCUUUGACUUCUGCAAUCGGAGAGAUUGAGGUCUGCAGCGUAGAUCCUUCGGGGUUAGAUACAUUUGUGCUAAGUUAUAGCCUUUCAUAGACAACUUGUUGACUAUGAUCAGUCAUGUAGCUUACUCGCUUAUGCUAUUUUACCUACGCUUAGGAUGUUGACGAUCAGCUGAGCGCG